rnacentral:lncRNA from 1 species
UUGUCGGUAACAAAGCGAGCACGAUUGCCGGCCAUCCCGCCUAUGUACCAACUGUGUUUCCGCCGUGUUACAGAAGAAGUGAUGCAGUACUACCGGCAUCAAAGCUCGACAGAUAUAAGAGGGUUCAGCGACGUCGCGCAGUGCUUCAAGCGCCGACAUCCAAGAGCGCGAUCACGGCGACUGCGGAUUCCUUUGAGGACUCCUCGAUUGACCUCGCCGACGAAAUCAUUGCAUCACCGGAAGAAACUGGCACAUCCGCAUCCGUGAUGACCCAGACAGAUGCAGAUUUUAACGGAGGUGUUUGCACUCUGUUCCUCUGUGACAACAGAAGGCGU